rnacentral:rRNA from 1 species
ACUAUUGUCACGGGUUACCGCGGCUGCUGGCACGGAGUUAGCCGGUGCUUCUUCUGUUGAGUGAUGUCCUUCCUGCCGGCUAUUAACCCGCAGGCCUUCUUCCUCACUGAAAGUGCUUUACAACCCGAAGGCCUUCUUCACACACGCGGCAUGGCGUGGAUCAGGGUUAGCCCCCAUUGUCCAAUAUUCCCCACUGCUGCCUCCCGUAGGAGUCGUGGGCCGUGUCUCAGUCCCAGUGUGGCUGAUCAUCCUCUCAGACCGAGCUACGGAUCGUCGCCUUGGUGAGCCGUUACCUCACCAACCAGCUAAUCCGACAUAGGCUCAUCCGAUAGCGCGAGG